GGAUACGCUACGGCAGGCUAUCACUGCAGUCGAACGGUGUCUUCGGACAUAGUGGCGCACGGGUGCGUAACACGUAUGCAACCUACCUUACAUUGGGGGAUAGCCUUUCGAAAGGGAGAUUAAUACCGCAUAAGACAGUAGCUGGGCCCUCCAGCAGCUGUUAAAGAUUUAUCGAUGUAAGCUGGGCAUGCGUCCAAUUAGCUAGUUGGUGAGGUAACGGCUCACCAAGGCAAUGAUUGGUAGGGGAACUGAGAGGUCAAUCCCCCACACUGGCACUGAGAUACGGGCCAGACUCCUACGGGAGGCAGCAGUAGGGAAUAUUGGGCAAUGGACGCAAGUCUGACCCAGCCAUGCCGCGUGCAGGAUGAAGGCGUUAUGCGUUGUAAACUGCUUUUAUACAGGAAGAAACGACUCUUGCGAGAGGCAUUGACGGUUCUGUAUGAAUAAGCACCGGCUAACUCCGUGCCAGCAGCCGCGGUAAUACGGAGGGUGCAAGCGUUGUCCGGAUUUAUUGGGUUUAAAGGGUGCGCAGGUGGUUUAUUAAGUCAGUGGUGAAAGACGGUCGCUCAACGAUUGCAGUGCCAUUGAAACUGGUAGACUUGAGUAAAGUAGAGGUGGGCGGAAUUGAUAGUGUAGCGGUGAAAUGCAUA
rnacentral:rRNA from 1 species